GUGUGGUCCCACGCGAUUGUCCCGUCCGUAGUGGCGCUAAGUGGCGAUGAGGUGGGUGUGGUCCCGCGUGAUUGUCCCGUCUUGUGAGACGUUAUUGAUCGAUCCAUUUUGGUAGCAGCAUAUAGUUGCAUUAUAGGGAACUAACACCUGACCCUAUGUUGUUGGAUUUUAGUUAUUGGUUUAUUGAUAUCUGAUUUGAUGUUAUAUUGUUGAGGUUAUUAUUAUCUGAGCUAAUCUAUGUUAAGUUGUUGAUAUAUGAGUUUAGUUAUAUUGCUGGUUUUGUUGAUAUCUGGAUUAACUUAAGUUGCUAGUUUAUUUACCAUGCUAGGUAAUUAAAUUUGAAUAGCAUGAUUUUCUCCUUUAUAUGUGGUAGUUGCAUGGAGUUAACCCUUUCUAUUUGCUACUUGUUAUUUGGGCGCUUAACGCUAUUGGCGAUGAAGAGCCUUCUGGCGAUGCUUAGCCAUGCUGAGAUGGAGGAGGGAUAGUAACCGGCGGAGCAAGGAUGGAAGAAGUUGUAUAGUUUUCCUCUUAGUAGUUUAUGCUUGAGUCUUCUUUGUUAUCUGAAAACUCUGUUACUAAAACCCUGUUUUCGCCACUGUUUAAGUGUGCGUAUUUAUUUUGGAAACUUGCUUAUGCUAUUGUAAGACACUAUUAUUAUAUGUCGGGAACGGGUUGUUUAAUUAAGACUAUGUUAUGUAUUAAACUGUGUUUAGUUGUUUUGAAAAGAAAAAAAAUAUUGUGUUUUCUUAGGAUUACUGUAACACCCCGAUUUCGGUGGCGUCACUUUAGUAACCAAAAAUAAACUUAAUGCGGAAAACGUGAAUAUUUUUUUUCCGUCGAUAAUAUAAACAAGACUGAAAUAAAUAAAACUCAAAUGCGAAAGACAACAGAACUAAUAUACAAUAUAAAUUACAGCCCCCGCUGUAAGUAGCAACUUCGUCACGAGUAACCUCCAGUGACGGAAAGUAGAAAAGUGUAACGCUCGUAGGCAAUAUGUACAGACCAAAGUAAAGGUGAAGUGUCCGCAACACAAACCUCAAAAAACGAGAAUGAGUUAGUCCAAUCGGCCUAAAACAAGACCUCCUAGCCCAACCAACUCUCUGUGAUCCCCGUAGAGAAACCACACAAAAAGCUAUAGGUGGGAAACUACCCUGUCCCCAAAGAAACAAAUAAUGGUCAGAGCUAAGACUCUACUCCUACACUAAUCAUAUCUCGAGGAGCUCACACCAGCACUAAAACCAACAUGCUAGCAUGAUCGUCGUCUGAAUCUGAAUCCAGAACGACCAAGUCUACGUACACUACCCGUCCUCCUCUCGCAACCGCAAUGCGCUCCGGUGCUGGCCUCUCGGGCUUAGGGCCCGAACCAUGAUCAUCAAUGAUAGCAACGGUGGGUGAACUGGACUCUGAAGAAGUCACUCCCACAGGCUCCUCCUCUGAGGGGUCCUCAUCAUCCGAAGACGACGGUGGUGGUGGUGCUCCUACUCCUGGUCCGCAAUGCACUCCGGGCGGCAAGUUGAAACUGAUAGUGCACCUCCUCAGCACUCCCUCCACAAGUGUCCUCCACUGUCCACACGAUCCUCCAUGAUCCUCCCCGAGUACGUCGCACGAUGGCUAGCGGGGUCAACCACCCAGACGCCGGGGUCAUCCUGAUCUAUCAUCUCAUAUCUAGCCCUCCCCGAAGGGUGGACCAUCGUGAACCAAUCCGCUAAAGACAUCUGACAAUAGGCGUAGUCCGCCAAAGCACACACAGAAGACGCGAGGGUCAACUCCAAAGAAUUAUGUAAGUAAUAGCACCGAUAGAUACAUAUAAGAGAAUAACCACUUAGGCUUAUAGCUAGGGAUAGCAUCCUAGGGUUGUAUAUUCCAUAAUAAAUGUAAAAGACGAUAAUAAAAAUUAGCAUGCAUCAAAAAGGAUUAACAAUUAUCAACCACACUCAGCAACUAAGUCAAUAUGCAUGUUGCAUGAAACGCAGAUGCCGGUUAACCCAGUUAACCAAUAUGCAUUCCGGAAACGGAUGGACAUCAACGGAUCAUCCCUAGCACCAGCCACGGUGGGACCAUUUCGGCCCGCGUGCCUCUUACACCACACAAAGGUAGCCAGAUCAGCAUAAAACCCGAAGGCCUGCCAUUUCGGUCUGCUACUAAGAGUCGCCUAAUAGCGCUCUUACGCGGAAAUCCGGGUCUUAUGACCAUUUUGGAAUCCACCGAGGUCCGAAGUCCGUCUCGUGUUAAUACCUCAAAAUGUGUGCAUGAAUGCAAAGUGAUUAGCCAAACAACGUCUCCGACCUCACUCGACACGUCACCACGUGUUCUUGCUAACUUAUUGUCUCUAAAAGCAUACCCUAAGGUAAAAGUCGAUUCUGCGACAAAAUACAAUUAAUCGUAAAAUGAGUGCAAUCACUCACGAUAACUCUUCGAGUCAUCAAUGCUUCAUGAAGUCUCACGCUUCAGUGAAGUCUUAUACAAUCACGAAGUCUCAUGCUCCAGUGAAGUUUUAUGCUUUCACGAGGUCUCACGCCUCAGUGAAUUUACACACUUGCACGAAGUCUCACGCUUCAGUGAAGUUUCAUGCUGUUCACGAGGUCUCACGCCUCAGUGAAGAUCCAAGCUUUUCACAAGGUCUCACGCCUCAAUGAAGUAUCACGCAUUCACAAGGUCUCACGCCUCAGUGAAGCUUCUCGGCUCAUCCCUUGGAUGGCUAAACAAACUGCUCAAAGAGCGAAGGAGUAUCAACAUACUCAGAACUUACAGUUUUCCUAAAACUUGGACUCGACGACAAUUCUCUUUUUCCAAAACUGAUAUUCAAUUCCAAAGCUUGCAUCCGAGAGUGUUAUCAUUAUUUAAAGGUUUAGAGGUUGUUUAAUAUCUUAUGAGUUUUCCUUGUAAAAAUAGCUUCCUUUUAGUCUUAUCGUAUUUCCUACGAGUUUUCAAAGAUCCCAUAAUCCCAUUUAAAUCCCAGAGAAUGUCUCGAUCCACUAAAACCAUAACAAGGCCCGAAUCUUCGUUCGUCCUAUCAAACUUUCCCCAAAAUCUCAAAAUAAAAUCGGUAUGACCUGCCCGCUAUUCUCACUCCUCAGUACCACAGAUAUAAGUGAAAAGACAUAGUUACAUCAGCACAAUCAACAAACAUGUCAUAUAUCAACACAUCCUAGAAUUACCACGUAGCACUCAGCAUAUAAAGCAUACAUCACACAUCCUAGAUUACCCCACUUAGCACGUACCAUGUAAUUCAAUCUCAAAAACAGUCAGUAGAUGAAUCAUCUACAUUGUCAGCCGAAGCCUCAGAAAACAUUUUUCCAGUCAAACACAAACAAGUGCAUAAACAGUAAAUCAAUGUUGAAUGCGUCGACCCUAAGCAUUAACUAAGGAUUCAGUGAGUAGCCCUCACCUGUAGAUUCUCCAGGAUUCUCCUCGAAAGUUCCUUCACAAUGAGCUCCUUGAUCUUCAGGAAAUUCUUCAAAAGAACCUUUAGAGUAAAACCACAGAAUUCCAUCAAAAACUAUCAGAACUCAGUAAUCAAUACUCACUAAGGUUACACGAAGUAGUAUAUACUCCGAGUUACGAUAAUCUAGCGCGAAAGGACAAGUUUUCGAAAAAGGAAUUUUCCCCCUCCCCUAGGGUAGCUCACGGCCACACAUGGUAAUUGUGUAUGUCGAUUUUUCUUCGCUCAAACUUGGUUCCUAGGUUAUUAUUAGUCGUAACUAAGGGUAUUCUAAACUCGGAAAAAUUAUCGGAUCGAAAACUGUCGCAGGGGUAUUUUGGUCAAUAUUUUUAGCUCAGAAUUUCAAAACUGAAAUUUCGAAAAGCAAAUUGGAUGGAGACGUCACCAACGACGUUUAUGACAACUAAUCCUACUAGCACUAAGCUAAGGCGAUAGUUUUCAGCCCAAAGGACGAAGCUUUGCCCCACAAUGGGUAUUUUAAGCAGAAUUGAAACUCAACGGUAGUUUUUCGAGAAUCGGCGCAGUAUUAUUAGCUAAACAUGCUCUUGGGCACGUAGGGAAGAUUUUUAGAUAGAAAAAUGAGGUUAUCUGGAUAGUUUUGCAAAAACCUCAAAACUAGGAGCACAGAAAGACAUAGAGAAAAACUAUGGAAAAGACGAUCAGAGGUAAGGAUUAGCGACUAUACCUCGAUACCUUGAAGUAGCAACUGUUGAAUCAACGAUCAAGCAAGAAAUGAAGAAAAUCUCUUGUCCUCCUCCUCUUGUGAAGCUCACGGCCUUGGUGGGAAGAAAUGGGUAAGUUUUGUGAUUUUUUCUCAUUUCUUGGCUAUAUAUAGAGGUUGGAAAAACGCGGGAAAAUGAAAGUUUCGCGAUUCUGAUUUUUCCGGCUUCAUUCUCCGUGAAUUCUAAGUUAGGUUUUGGCGACAUAAUUCCAAAACUCAAAAGAGGUUUCCUUAUAUUUUAGGUGACUAAUGCAAAGUCGGUGUAAAACUGUUUUACCCGAUAAGUUACUUUCUGUAGUGAAUGUCGGAAGAGAAAACUUCCUUCUGAAGAAAGAUUGAAAUCAUCAAGAGAAAUGGAUGCACGCGUGUGGAAUCUUCAUUUGAAGCUCCGAAUAGAAAAAGUCUUCAUCGUCGGUUGAUUCUAGGGUUCUUGAACUAUCAGGGUUCUAGUUUCGGCAAACUUCCGAGGAUUGGAAUCGAACGUUCGUAGAUCCUAGGGUUUCGCCUCGAAACGAUUGUCGUAUAAGGAAUAAGAGAAGUUCUAACAUUUCUCUGAAGAUUUUUGGAAUUAAUUUCCAUCGUGACUUUAAGUGUAAACUAGCUAUUUACUAGGGUUUCUGCCCUAGGUUUAAGCGUAUAUCGAUCGUGCUAUACCUUUUAUCGAUUUUGAUGAAAUCCUUAUACUUUUCCUGAACUUUCUCCUUCACAAAUUUAUUUCAUUUAGUAAACUCUUGUUUAGGUUUCCCUUCACGAUACAUCAACCCUAAUCGCAAUAAGAAUUUUAUUCACUUGGCAUAAGCUUAAAAACUUGGGUCUUACAAUUACGAAAUAGUCCCUAGACUUUGUUAGGUUACUAAUGUGACUCCUCACUUGAGAAAUUGGGGCGUUACAAUUGUGGUAUCAGAGCCUUGGUUGAGAAAACCAGAGCUUUUGGGUAGACUUGUUUGCUUAAGAUGUUUGAACUCUGAGACUGAUUGAUGGGGUGUCAAUUGGAGGAAGGGUGAGCUUGAUAGCUCUAAUAUUGAUUGUGUUUGAAGGUUGUUCGUGAGUGAAUAACCUUAGGCUAGUUAGUAUUGGUUAUAUAGUUUAUGUAUGUAUAAAGGUAUAUAUAUAUAUAUAUAUAUAUAUAUAUAUAUAUGUAGCUUCUGGGUCCUUUUAUCCCUCAGGCGGGAAUGCAAUUGCACCAGGAACUAUAUCAACGAAUUUGGAGAAUGUGACUUGCUUCAGGUGCAACAAAAAGAGGCAUUAUGCCAACCACUGUUCUGAGAGUCUUAGGGUUUGUUGGAACUGCAACAAGCCAGGUCACACUGCUGUAGAAUGCAGGGUUCCUACGGUUGAGAUGGCUACGAAUGUUGCCGGAGCAGGGAGGCCUAUUGAUUGUGGAAGGGUCUGCUCGAUCAGUGGAACUAUAUACCUUUAUAUAGUUUAUGUAUGUAUAAAGGUAUAUAUAUAUAUAUAUAUAUGUAGCUUCUGGGUCCUUUUAUCCCUCAGGCGGGAAUGCAAUUGCACCAGGAACUAUAUCAACGAAUUUGGAGAAUGUGACUUGCUUCAGGUGCAACAAAAAGAGGCAUUAUGCCAACCACUGUUCUGAGAGUCUUAGGGUUUGUUGGAACUGCAACAAGUCAGGUCACACUGCUGUAGAAUGCAGGGUUCCUACGGUUGAGAUGGCUGCGAAUGUUGCCGGGGCAGGGAGGCCUAUUGAUUGUGGAAGGGUCUGCUCGAUCAGUGGAACUGAAGCUGAUAAAGACGGUGGUCUGAUCCGCAGUACCUGCGAGAUUGCGGGUGAUUCUUUUAUCGUGCUAUUUGAUUCUGGUGCUACACAUUCUUUCAUAGACUUAGCUUGUGCGACAAGGUUAAAGCUAGAUGUGUCAAAGUUACCGUUUGACCUGAUAGUAUAUAUCCCUGCUUCUAAGUGUCUAGUAGCUAAGAAUGCAUGUUUAGAGUGUCCUUGGACAUACCUAGAUAAGAAGUUUGUAGAAAACUUGAUCUGCUUACCACUAAAGGGAUUGGAUGUAAUCAUAAGCAUGGAUUGGCUGUCCCACCACCAUGUUCUUCUUGAUUGCACCAAUAAGGUAGUUAUCUUCCCCGAUACUGGACUCGUCGAGUUCUUGAACUCGUACUUUUCAAAGCUUUCUUUGAAAAAAUGAGCUUUGAGAUCCCUUUUGACUACCACUGUGGUCGAUAUUAAGGCAAAUGGAGUGCAAGCAAUAGAGGCCGUGCGAGACUUCCAAGAUGUAUUUCCCGAUGAUGUACCUGGAAUACCCCCAGUCAGAGACGUAGAAUUCACCAUCGAUGUGGUCCCAGGCACUGGACCUAUAUCGAUUACACCUUAUCGUAUGGCAUCGACUGAAUUGACUGAGCUGAAGAGUCAACUCGAGGAUUUAACCAGGAAGGGGUUUAUUCGACCUAGUGUAUCUCCAUGGGGAGCGCCCGUACUGUUGGUAAAGAAGAAAGACGGACGAUCGCGACUCUGCGCGGAUUAUCGACAGUUGAACAGGGUCACGAUAAAGAAUCGAUAUCCCUUGCUAAGGAUUCACGACUUAAUGGAUCAAUUAAGAGGUGUUGUUGUUUUCUCGAAGAUUGACUUGAGAUCGGGAUACCACCAGAUUAGAGUCAAGGACGAGGACAUCCAAAAUACCGCUUUUAGGACGCUCUAUAGACACUACGAGUACUUGGUGAUGCUUCUUGGUGUUACGAAUGCACCUGUUGCAUUCAUAGAUUACAUAGAUAGGAUCUUCCAUUCAUUUUUAGAUCAUUUCGUGGUGGCGGAUGCCUUAAGACGCCAGACGAUUCAUGUGUCAUCCCUAAUGAUUAAGGAGUUGGAAAUGAUUGAGACUUUUCGCGAUUUCAGUCUCGGCGUAAAGGUGACGCCUGGAAGACUAAGUUUUGGUAUGUUGACAAUAACCAGUGAUUUGUUGAACGAGAUCAAGGAGAAACAACUGUUGGAUGAGGAUUUGAUCGAGAAACGAAGCAUGAUCCGUUUGGGAAGAGCGCCGGAUUUCGAGGUAGGAACCGAUGACAUUCUGCGUUGCAAAGGACGUAUUUGUGUGUCAUGUGACAUGGAGCUGAGAAGGAUGAUCCUAGAUGAAGGUCACAAAAGCAAAUUGAGUAUCCAUCCCGGAUCGACGAAGAUGUACCAAGAUCUAAAGCUGAAUUUAUGAUGGUCAGGCAUGAGAAAGAAUAUAACAAAGUUUGUGGCGGCAUGUCUGACGUGUCAGAAGGGAAAAAUGGAACACCAAACACCUGUGGGCAUGUUACAGUCACUUGAUGUGCCGGAGUGGGAAGAGCGAUAAAGUCGAGGAAGUUGACACCAAAGUUCAUUGGGCCAUACCAGAUCAUCGAGCGAGACGGUAAUGUGGCUUAUCGUAUCGCAUUGUCACCUUUUCUAUCCAAGAUUCAUGACGUGCUACAUGUGUCACAAUUGAGGAAGUACAUCCCUGAUCCCUCUCAUAUUAUCAAGAAAGACGAUAUACAGCUUAGAGACAACCUGUCUUUCGAAGUGACACCAAUAAGGAUCGAUGAACGUAGGAUCAAAAAAACUAAGGAACAAGCAAGUCCAAUUUGGUGAAAUGUAAUUUGGAAUCAAGUCAUGAACGAUGUUACUUGGGAGCUAGAAGAGAUAAUCAAUGAGUUGUAUCCGGAACUCUUCGUUGAGGCUUAAGUUUCGAGGGCGAAACUUUCUUUUUGGGGGGUAGUAAUAUAAGACCCGGAUAAUUAAGCGUUUAAUUAACUAGUUAUUUAUCGGUUUAAUAGCAAUAAGCGCUGUUAAACUUAAGUUGAUUGAGUUAUUAUGCUUUGUGUGUCUAUAUAAUUAUGACUCUGUUAUUAUUAUCUAUUUUCCUAAAUAAAUAAAUAAAAGAAAAUGGAAAGUUAAUAGAAAAAUAAAAAAGUGAAGAGUCACACGUGAGAGACUUAAAAAGAAGAAGAAGAAAGUAACAAAAUUGAAGAAAGGGAAGUUUGUGAUUUGGCGAAUAUAUAAAUGUAUAUUUAAAUGUUAACACUUCUACACUUGAUCACUUAAACUUGCUCAAAGUGAUUUUAAUUUAUAUCAUAGAGUCCCUAAUAAUUUUUAGGAUAAUGAUUCAUCUUUCUAAUAUUUUUCUCUUAACUCUACGAGUUAAAUCCUACACUACCAAAAUCAAUCUAGACUUAGAGAAUUCAAUAUGUCUUAAUCACUAAGUUCUCUUCGUCUAAUUUUAGUGGACUUUAAAUAAAAUAUAUCAGAUGUAUAAUUUCACCAAAUUGUUGCAGCGAAAAGACUUGGUAGUAGAAAAGAGAAGUGGUGAGUUAUGAAACAAAUGAAAUAAAAAAUUGAAGAAUGAAUUCAAGCUGGAGGUGUAAAGGUGGCAAGCAUGACAAGGAUGAGGCAAACGUACGUGUUGAUUGAAGUAAAACUUUGCUAGCAUAGCUUUACAGCUCCUCCUUUCUUGCAUGUGUUCAACUUCUAUUUGUGCUCCACGUUCAACCUCUUGCAUGUCCACCUCAAGCUAUUGCCUGAUUCUUCACCCUUAAGCAUUGUGUUCGGACUUCUAUAAAUAGCAACAACAUGAAUAGUAGAAAAAAAAAAAGAAACUUAGAAGCAAUUGAUUCUCACACAAAAAUUUGACAAUAGCAUUAGCUAUUUGAGCGAGUAGUGUUUAGUAAAAAAAUUCUUGAGCUUUGGAGCGGAAGCUGGAAUCUUAGAGCUUAGCAUUUUUUAAAGCGAGUAAUUUUCUAAGGAUACGUAAUACGAUAACGCGUUCGUGUCGGAGCUAAAGAAUGGAAGGAAAGCUAGCCGGUACGAGAAGCGAUGAUGUGAUUGGAUCGAAUUGUCGCAACUUAGGAAAGAAAGUGGCUAAGGUAAGGGUAACUCAGUAUAGAAGUGUCCUUGAGUCUUGCAUGCUUUUAUUGCACUGCAUGCGCUUGAGAUGAAGAUGUUUAAUUUGAUUGGCGUUGAUUGAAAUAUUGUAUGCUUGCUUAUGUUGACUGUUUCUGAGGCUUGUGCCAAAUGUUUUUCUGGAGGCUUCGGCUGAGUGAACUUAUUGAGACGUGUGUCUCCGUUUUCUGAGAGGCUUCGACCGUUUACUGGUUUCUGUCAUUGAACUGAGUUGGUAUGCAAUUGAGUUGAUUUAUGUUCGUUGAUAAUAGGAAUAACAUGUGGUUACUCUGAAUUGAUCAUUUGCUAAGCAUUGUUGUUGACUGACUUGACAUAUAGGCUUUGGUCCUUAAGUGGCAAUGAGGUGGGUGUGGUCCCGCGUGAUUGUCCCGUCUUUCGAGGCGUUAUAAAGUGGCAAUGAGGUGGGUGUGGUCCCGUGGGAUUGUCCCAUCUUUCGAGAUGUUCUAAAGUGGCGAUGAGGUGGGUGUGGUCCCACGCGAUUGUCCCGUCCGUAGUGGCGCUAAGUGGCGAUGAGGUGGGUGUGGUCCCGCGUGAUUGUCCCGUCUUGUGAGACGUUAUUGAUCGAUCUAUUUUGGUAGCAGCAUAUAGUUGCAUUAUAGGGAACUAACACCUGACCCUAUGUUGUUGGAUUUUAGUUAUUGGUUUAUUGAUAUCUUAUUUGAUGUUAUAUUGUUGGGGUUAUUAUUAUGUUAAGUUGUUGAUAUAUGAGUUUAGUUAUAUUGCUGGUUUUGUUGAUAUCUGGAUUGACUUAAGUUGCUAGUUUAUUUACCAUGUUAGGUAAUUAAAUUUGAAUAGCAUGAUUUUCUCCUUUAUAUGUGGUAGUUGCAUGGAGUUAACC
rnacentral:lncRNA from 1 species